CACUGGCCGCACAAAAGACCAAUUGAAGAAAAUAUUUAUUGCAAAGAGUGAAAAUUACAUUUGCUUUAUUGGUCCUCUGUGCAAAUGUUAAUCAUCAUUUACUGCAUCCAGCUUCGGCAUAACGGAUCACUCUCGGGUGAGGAGACCAUUUUGAGGAGGUUUCAGUUGUACUAUUUCAGAUACAAUACAAAAUGGAGCCUGAUUCAUAGUGCAGAGAUUGACAGAGCAGCCGUCACGUCUAAAAAAAACACUACACUAAUGUAUUCUACGUUAAUCAAAGGUCUGUACAUGGUCUAUAAAAAAACCAACAGCAGAAGGAGAGACAGAGACAGAGGGCCCAGUGGCAGACUGAGGAGCCCAGAGUGAAAGAAUCGAUGCGGCCGCAGGGGGAGGCGUUCAGAAGGCUGGACGCAGCCUGAGCUGCCCCACCGAGCCCCUGCCUCAAUGGGUCAGCUGCAGAGCGCAGCAGGGGUAGAACACACCACUACCAGCCCUACAGCCACUGAGAGAGACAGACAUGCAGAGAGAGAAAGACAGGCAGUAACAUUUUUUGGGGAAGAAAUUCAACU